rnacentral:tRNA from 1 species
AGGGAUGCAGCUCAGUAAGUAGGGUGUUUGCCUUGCAUGCACAGGGCCCUGGGUUCAAUCCCCAGCUCCACUA